CUCAAAGGAAUUGACGGGACCCCGCACAAGCGGUGGAUUAUGUUGUUUAAUUCGACGCAACGCGAAGAACCUUACCAGGCCUUGACAUACUCGGCAAAGCUCUAGAGAUAGAGUGGAGGUUAUCCGGGAUACAGGUGGUGCAUGGUUGUCGUCAGCUCGUGUCGUGAGAUGUUGGGUUAAGUCCCGCAACGAGCGCAACCCUUGUCUUUAGUUACCAUCAUUCAGUUGGGGACUCUAGAGAGACUGCCGGUGAUAAACCGGAGGAAGGUGGGGAUGACGUCAAAUCAUCAUGCCCCUUAUGGCCUGGGCUACAAACGUAAUACAAUGGCGUAUACAAAGGGAUGCGAAAGGGCGACCUGGAGCAAAACUCACAAAGUACGUCUCAGUUCAGAUUGGAGUCUGCAACUCGACUCCAUGAAGGCGGAAUCGCUAGUAAUCGCGGAUCAGCAUGCCGCGGUGAAUACGUUCCCGGGCCUU
rnacentral:rRNA from 1 species